rnacentral:lncRNA from 1 species
AUGGUGUUAGGACUCGUCUAUUGGAAUUACGAUCUCUGGCUGUUAAUACCGGCUUGCUUUGUGAUUUUAAUAGGAGUUAUAACAGCUAUAGCUGCAUGCACCCGCAACCGCUGUCUGGUGAUCACGUCUCAGGUGCUGAAUCUGCUCAAUAUCUGCAAUGUGGUGACGGCCAUCGUCGCGUUUUUCGUCGUAGUCUUCUUGGGGAUUCUUAGGGAUGCGUUUUUUGGACAUUUACUGCGUGGUCAUUUCCUGAAUGGCCGUUCUGAGAGUAAUCAGUCUCUGCCCGCAAACAUGGCCUUCGUCACCUGUAACAUUCUGGCGCUCAUCUUCUCAUUUCUCAUCAUCAUGACGUUGUGCUGCUGGUGUAAACCGAGAAAGCGUCUGAUGGUCAUCCACAUGAACGCAGCUUCACCUGCAGCGGUCAGUGACGUCGUGGAUCACCCGCGGCCAGUAUCUUCCCCCCCGGCCUACAGUCCGGUCCCGUCUUCAGAUCCGCCGGACUACGAGGAGGAACGACGCUCGAUGCUCUCUGGAGUUUCUGCUCAGAAGUGGGCCUCGAGGAAAUGGAAAGAAGAACUGCAGCGCAGCAGAAAACCCAUCCAAGUCUGA